rnacentral:rRNA from 1 species
UAGGGAAUAUUGCACAAUGGAGGAAACUCUGAUGCAGCCAUGCCGCGUGUGUGAAGAAGGCCUUCGGGUUGUAAAGCACUUUCGGAGGGGAGGAAAAAAUAGACGUUACCCUCAGAAGAAGCACCGGCUAACUCCGUGCCAGCAGCCGCGGUAAUACGUAUGGAGCAAGCGUUAUCCGGAUUUACUGGGUGUAAAGGGAGUGUAGGCGGCUUUGCAAGUCAGAUGUGAAAGCCCGGGGCUCAACCCCGGGACUGCAUUUGAAACUGUGAAGCUGGAGUGUCGGAGAGGUAAGUGGAAUUCCUAGUGUAGCGGUGAAAUGCGUAGAUAUUAGGAAGAACACCAGUGGCGAAGGCGGCUUACUGGACGAUUACUGACGCUGAGGCUCGAAAGCGUGGGGAGCAAAC